CUGAGUCAUAGAAAUUCAAAACAGACCAAAAUAAAUCCUGUCUCUGUCUCCAAAUCUCAGUUCUUCAGAGAGGGUUCCUUCUGCUUUUCUAAAUCAUGUGGAUGGGCCAUGGAAGACCAGCUCUUGCCGACAGGGCAUUUCCCAGUCUGCUUUCCAAGCGAGGAGCCAAUUCUGACACCAUCCAAAACUUCAGGUGUUAUUCUUAUUGUCGCUCUCAGCAGUGUCAACUACAGCUUUUGUUUCUACUGUGACUCACAAAUACUCCACCAGCAGACGCUUCUGCAACAGCUACCUUGAAUCAUCACCUUUCCACUCACUGCCAUUUACAUUCAGUCUUUGGGCAAUCAUUUUUGGCCUGCAAAAAUUAUCGAGCUGGCAGGAGCACUGCACUUGAAAUAGGACUCUGUACCACCAUGCAGGUGUAAAACAUCUAGAAGAGAUUUUGCUGUCAAUGGGGCUUUACCCCCUAUGUUAAUGCAAGCAGUGUAUAAUUAAUUUGGAAUUUUCCUGGCCUAUAUAAAAAAGCUGUGAUGAUCUUCUGGUUUAUUAUCAUUAUUGUUAUUAAUAUUCAAUUUUGAUUUAUUGUGGAAAAUGUUUCACUAUAUAUAUAUAUAUAUAUAUAUAUAUAUAUAUAUAUAUAUAUAAAAAUAACGCAGUACCUCUAUCAAAUUCUCCAAAAGGAGGGUUCCUAGUUUGGGUUCACCUUUUCUGAUAUCCAUUUUCUCUUUUGUUAUCAAAUACAGUGAAUCUCAAUGCACAGCCUCACAGAAAUUAUUUUGCCAUGAAACACAAGAGAAUUAUUUCAUCUGCCAUGAAGUGACUUGUGGACAUCCUACGUGCCUUAAGAAAUGCAGGCCAAUGGAAAAAGGCUUGAACAGGGGCCAUAGAUAAGUAAUGGCAGGUAAGGAAUAGAUUAGUGCAUCCAACAGAUCAAAUAUACAUAUAUUUUUCAUUUAUUAACAGGUUAUCAAGAUACUGAUUUGGAUACAAACAGUAAAAAUCUGGUGCUGCACAAUUUUAUUUUCCUUGCUUCCAAUUACUGCAUGCAGUAUAUAGCACAGUCCCGGUCAAUCACUUGCAAAUUGCUUGCAAAUCAACCUGAGAAUAUCGAGAGAAACAUUUGGAAGCCAGGGUGCUCACAGUUUGCCACAGUGUUUGAAAGAGAAAACUACAAAACAUCAUGAUCUCAAAGAAAAUAAAAUCAAGAAUGUUUGUGGUUUUUUUUGUGCC
rnacentral:lncRNA from 1 species